CUUUCUGCGGCUGGUUGGCGUAGUUUGCAGUUUUCGGGGAUCCUUUCCGCAGGGCUGAGGAGCAGGUGACGGAGCCGAGUAGAUGUGAAAAGAGUCGUCCUCAGGGCAGAGACUUGGCGCACGGCUCUGCGACGCCGCCCGGGCUGCGCCUCACGGGGGCCGGGACAGGGACCCCCAGCCCGGUGUCCGCUCCGUCCACAGAGUAGACGCAGAGUAGGCGCUCCGUCCAGCGCAGAUUUUUUUUAUUCAUUCAUGACAGAGAGAGAGGCGGAGACAUCGGCAGAGGGAGAAGCAGGCUCCAUGCAGGGAGCCCAAUGUGGGACUCGAUCCAGGGACUCCAGGAUCACGCCCUGGGCCGAAGGCAGGCGCUCAACCGCUGAGCCACCCGGGGAUCCCCGAAACUAGAUUUUCUAAUAUGUGUGAUGAGGGAAGAAAACAGGUAUCAGGGAUAACCCCAGGGGAUUUGAUCUUUGCAACUGUAGGGAUGGCAGUUCCAACUGAGAUGAGGAAGUUGGUAGUAGGAGUAACAAUCACUGGGGAUAUCAGGAGCUUUGUUUUGGCCACAUUGAGAAUCUGAGGUAUUUCAGAGACCUCUGAGUGGAGGCAUCAAAUUGGCAACUGGAAACACAAGUUGGGAAAUCGAAGAGUGGUUCAAAUUGGAGACCUUCAAAAUGUGGUAUUUACUGUGUGGACCCAAUUAAUCUGUGGUUACAUAUAAGAGGUAUAGUCUUGUUAAUGAUUGUGAAGCUGUUUAUAUGCCAGGAUGUAGAGGGUAAGGGCUGAGCACUGGGUCUCUCACUUGGGUACCUUAGUGAUGGUAUUAGAAUUCAUAAAUGCAGGUGAGGGUGGUAUGUAUCCCUAACGUAGGCUGUAUCAGACUGACUAGUCUAGCAGAUGGCCAGGGUUUCCAAGAUAAGAAUGGAGAUGAGAAAGAUGCAGAGACAAGGGGUAAAUGAGGCAAGAUGUCACUCAGGCCAGAGCUCUUGCUUAUUCUCUAUGAUUUGUGAGGACUUUGGUGGGACCUGGGGUCUUUCAUUCAGCCUGGUGGGUGUAGUUGGGGCAAAUAUGAUCAUCUGUAAGAAUCAGUAGGACUGGGGUGGGUGAUAAAUGGACUGAACUUUGAAUGAGGAUUAGGUGGACAGAGAAGGUUGUCAUUGCUGAGGGGACAGCAAGCACAACACAAGGUGCAAGAGGGCCAUGGGUUUCUGAGAUCCACAACUGGCUCUGUGUGGCUUAGUGUCAGGCAUGGAACAGAGCCAGGAGGGAGGCCUUCAUAGAAGGAUUAGGUGUUUCCAACUCCCAACAGGAGCCAUGGGAGCUCUGGGGUAGUAUUGGGUCCGGUUUGAAUUUGCCAAGCAACUCUGGCUGUUUUCUGCUAAGUUGUAUUUCAUGACCUAAAAUUAAGACCCAUUGUUAUGUGCUCCCUUGACACCUCAUGAAACUCCCAAGUGCUUCACAUGGCCUGAGUGCAAGUUCUCCUCCCCACUCUUAGAUAAAGUUUCCUAGCCAAGCAUCCCUUUUCAUCAAGAGGACCAGAGCAGUUCCUGCUUAUGCCUUUAUUUUUAUUUUUAUUUUUUUUAAAUAAUUUUUUAAAAAGAUUUAUUUAUUUAUUUAUGAUAGACAGGGGUGGGGGCAGAGACAGGAGGAGGGAGAAGCAGGCUCCAUGCCGGGAGCCUGAUGUGGGACUCGAUCCCGGGACUCCAGGAUUGCGCCUCGGGCCAAAGGCAGGCGCUAAACCACUGAGCCACCCAGGGAUCCCCCCUGCUUAUGCCUUUAAAAUGGGUUUCACUUCUCUGCUAGGCCAUGGGGUUAUUCACACAAGCCAUUCACAUCAUCCUGUGGGAACCAGAUUGUACCCCACCUCUUGAUCUUGUAAAACUUGCAUCUCACAGCCCCUGGUUGUUUACUCUUACACAGUGUACAACGUUCAUGUGGCCCUAUAAGGUUGUGGUGUCCUCCUCUCCCUGGCUGUGAGUAUAUGUAAUUAAUAAACUACCUUUGACCUUGUCUGUCCAGUAUUAGGUACUUUGUGUUUGGCCAUCCCCUUAACCCUAGGAUGGGAAUUCUGCUCUUCUCGCAGUGGUAUAAAGGAGGGAUGACUAACACAAGAGUGACUUAUAGGGAGACCAGGGAGAUGCCUGUGCUGUGGGGCAUUGAGGUAUGGCUAUGGGCAUAUGGCUGUGGUGUCCAGGAAUGUGAGGGCUGUGCAUUCUAAAGAAUACUUGGAGAGAGAGUGUGUCUGAUGGUUUCAGAGACCUAGUAUUGAGAUUUACAGGACUUUGAUAACAUCAGAGGAAUAGCUUGACAGAAGUGUGUGGAUUCAUCUAGUGAGGGCAACAGCUUAGACAUCCAUUUGUUCACCUGCCUCUUUUCGCUGAUGAUUGGACCUGACCAGUGAGCCCAUGAGGAGACAGCAGUGCAAGUUGUUCCAAGGCCUGAUUUAUUCCCUGAGUUGGAGGGCUUGGGAGGAGAAUGGGUAUGGGGUAUUCGUGUAUGGAUGAAUUGUGGGUACUCUGGAGAAGGGCUGUUGGUGGUUUCAUGUGUCACCAUCAUGAUAGGGCACUGUGACCCUUGAAGACAUGGCUAUGUACUUGUUCUGGCAGGAGUAGGGUCUCCUUGAGGUUCAGAGACACUCAUACAAUAAUGUGAUGCUGGAAAGCUUUGAACUUAUAAUCUCGGAAUGCCAGGGUGGCUCAGUGGUCGAGCGUCUGCCUUUGGCUCAGAGUGUGAUCCUGGAGUCCUGGGAUCAAGUCCUGCAUUGGGCUCCCUGCAAGGAACCUGCUUCUCCCACUGCCUGUGUCUCUCCCUCUCUCUGUGUGUCUCUCAUAAAUGAAUAAAUAAAAUCUUAAAAAAAAAAAAAAAGGAAUUUACAGUCUCUCUGGGUAAGGCCCUCAUACCCAUCAUGGUACCCUUAGAUGUUCUCUGCUCUUCCCUUUUUCCCCAGGCACUGGUCUCUCCUUCCCAUAGCAGGACCAUGGACACUGCUUGUUUCCCCAACUCCCUAAGCCUGUGCUGUGGCUGAGAAGUCUGAGGUGUGUGCACUGCCCUCUCCCUGAGCAGCCCCAACACAGGGUUAGGCAUAUAGUGGUCAUUGUAAUUUUUUUUUUUUUUUUGGUCAUUGUAAUUGAUUUUACUUUGCUUGCCCUUUCCCUGGCCUGGUGACUUUGUGCAGGUCCAAGGCACCUGAAUACCAGUUGCUACUUCUUUCCUCUAGCUGACAUUUUUUCAUGACUGCUUGUGCCAGGAAUUGCUAACACCAGCACAGUUACAGUUGUGUGGACCACGGUCUUUUUCUUGCAACUCCUCUAUGUUUUCUGUAUUUUUUUUUUUCCUCCUGUGUGCUAUCACAUGCUGAGUUGUUCUGACCCAGUACUGUCUGCUCUUCUGUAAUGUGUUCUCCUUAGUAAUUGCAUCAUCCAGGUGCCAUGUAUUUGGUCAUCUUGGGGGUAGAUUGUAGAGCCUUUAUUUAAAUGGUUCACAAAUGGCUCUGAUCAAGCCACAGCAAGAUGGAGGAUCCUGAUCUGGAGGGUUGGUACCUGGAGAAGGACAUAAUAUCAAGGUUGUGUUUAAAUUGUAGCAGAAAUUGGGGCACCUAGGUUGAGCUCAGUGGUUGAGCAUCUACCUUUGGUUCAAGUCAUGAUCCUGGGGUCCUGAGAUUGAGUCCCACAUCGGGUUCCUGCAUGGAGCCUGCUUCUCCCUCUGCCUAUAUCUGUCUCUUUCUGUGUCUCUCAUGAAUAAAUAAAUAAAAUCUUUAAAAUAAAUAAAUUGUAGCAGAAAUCUAUUCUAUUUGGUUAGUGUUCAGUGCCAGGGGGCACACCUCAUUUCUGGUGUUUCUUCAGUCUUGAUGCUUUGCCUACUUAUCAACUCUACAUGUCACUUCUAUUCUUAUGUUCUGUGCAGGACCAGUCCAUACCUUUCUGGACUCCAUGUCUUACCUACUUUUCUCACUCCUCCAUCUGCAGUGCUUCCCAACAUUGACUUCUACAUAAUUUGUCAUGAGGUGUGCAUAUAUCUUCAAAUGGUCCUUGAACAUGAGCUACUCUGUUGCAGUUGGAUUUUCUUGGUCCUGGACUUACCUUUCUAUAUAGUGCUCAUGUGUCACCCGUAAACAAGAACUUGUUGAAAGUUAUUUGUAGAAAAAUGGGGCAUAGGCCUCCUCUCCUCCACUUGUCAUACAUCAGUUGUGUCCUUCACCAUUUGAGACCUUCCCCAUUUUAUGCUCUUCAUUUCCUUGGAACAAAGGCUGUCUUCAGCCCAAACCAAUCCUGGUUCUGCAGACAAGCCCAUGGACUUGUCCUGAGUUUGUCAAACGCAUUCUUGUGAAUGGGUAGUUGACUCCAACCAGAGUCAACAGGGACUCCUCCAGCAUUUUAUUCCUUUCAGGUUGUUGAUAUGGAGCACACACUGAGGAGGCACCUUUUGAGCAGAGCAUUUUUGUCAGAGUGUCACAGGUCAGGACUCCAAGGCAGGUGUCUCCCAGAAGGCCUACUCUUGUGAGGUAUGUAGCCUAGUCUUGAGAGAGAUUUUGCACUUGGUUGUGUCAAGGAACACGUACUAGGAAGAAGCCAUAUACCUGUGGGGCAUGUGGGAAAUAAUUACGUUUUACUGCAAACCUUCCAUGGCACCAGAAACAGGACAUUGGAGAGAAACGCUUCAGAAGCAGAGCCUCAUUUGUGAAGAGCUACAAAUUCUGUGUGUCGAGGAAGCCCUUUACCUACAGGGAGAUUGGGAAAGACUUCAUGACCAGCUCAGAAUCUCUCCAACAAUAAGUCACUUACACCGUGGAGAAGUCAAAGAGCAGUACCAAGUAUGUAGUGGCCUUACAUGAUGUAAAAAUUCAUUAUAAAUGGGGAAGAUACAUGAAAACUUUUGAGAACAAAUAUAUAUUUAUUCAACACCAGAGAGAUCUCUCUAGAAUAAGAUGUUACAUAUGUAGUGCAUGUGGGAAGUCUUAACAAAAGGUACCCCUCAGUCACCAUUGGAGAGUUCACAGUGGAAAAGGUCUAAAUGAGUGUGGGGAAUGUGGUAAAUUAUUUACCAACAAGAGCAUUCAGCAUCCCUGAGUUCACAGUGGAGAAAGACCAUAUAUGUACAGGGAAUGUGGCAGCUUCAUUUAUAGAUCCAGUCUCCUGAAUUACCUGAGGUUUCACACUGAAUCCUUAUGAGUGUGGGGGAUGUGGGAAAUCCUUUAUAAAGCUCUGUGCUCCUCAGCGCUGGGAAGUUUACAAUGGAUGAAGGCCUUAUGAGUGCUGAAUGCUCAGGUGGAGGCCCUAUCUCAUUGAAUACUGGAAAAUUCAUGUAGAAAACUUAGGGAACUUAAUGUAGAUGUGUGGGAGUGUUCUAUUGUAUUCCUUAUAAGUGGAAGUGAUCCAUAUGAGGGUGUUAUCUACCUGAAUUAAAUCUCCUACAUGAGAAUGGCCACUAAGUGCCAGGUAUGUGAGAGGUAUGUUUUUAAACUGCACAGCCUAUUGCCAGAUGUGUGUCCCUUGGUUCUGGCAGAAGCCUACCCUUGGAAGGUGCCUGUGGUGUGUAUCAUUUAGUAACUACUUUAGGGAAGUAAAAUUUCCCUGUUGUAUUUGUAAAGGAUAUGUGAGAAGCCUGAGCAUUCAUCCCUUUCUUAUUUUUUUCUCUGUGAAGACUUAGGCCCUGGACCUGACCCAAUUUGGGCUCAGAAGAUUCUGCUCAUGAUUUGAAAACACAGACUUCCUUUUUUAAAAAAAAAUAUUUGUGCAUGAGAGACACAGAGAGGCAGAGACACAGACAGAGGGAGAAGCAGGCUCCAUGCAGGGAGCCCGAUGUGGGACUCGAUCCCAGGACUCUGGGAUCACACCCUGAGCCAAAGGCAGACACUCAACCACUGAGCCACUCAGGCGUCCCCAAAACAUAAACUUCCUGUUUCAGGAAUGGUCUCAUAUGACUCUCGUGAUGGAGUUUUCCAGCAUUCAAAUAAAAAAGCUUGGAACAGCC